GGAGGGUUGGCUGAGCCUGGUUUAAGGCACCUCUUUGAAAGUGAGGCGUAUACCAGAGAUGGUGUGCCGAGGGUUCGAAUCCCUCACCCUAUU
rnacentral:tRNA from 1 species